CCAAAGAUUCCAUCCGUGAUGAUGCUAUUGCUCGAGUUUUAGGUCAUGAACGUCAUGGGAGAGUUAGGGGACUCGGAUUUGGAGUUGUACCAUCAAAAGUGGAUAGACAAAUACAAAGUAGUGGGAGAGUUAGAAAACUUGAAAGUCAAUUACAGAUUCAGGCACAAACGGUAGGGGCAUUAGAAGAAAAAAUGGAAGCAUUUAUUAGGUUUUCUCAGCAGUCACACCAAGGAAGUGGUGUCCAAGGAAGUACUACCCCCAAAACAAAUGCAAGAUGUCAACUGUUGCAUUGGUACAUGUUUAAGGAGGAAGAAGUCGUAGUAGAAUGGAAGAUUGGCACAACAGACCCUAGUGCAAAGGUGCAUCACUUGCCACUCAGUCGAGACUAUUGGAAGGUUUGGGUUGAUGAAGUCUAUAUGGGUAAUUUCACUUUAUACAGACCCACAAAUGAGUUUCGCACUCUUAGUGAAGCCAUGGAAAGUACUGUUGCUUAGCCAAAGAGCAGUAUUAGACUUCUUGAUUAAGGCCGAUCUUUUUUCCAACAAGAAGUUUCUUUUUCAAGUGAGAUUGAUGCAAGGCUCGUUGGACAUAAAUUGUUCCACUGGCAAUAGUAUUGAUCAAGUAACAUGUGACGGAGCUCAAGUUUAAGUUUCAAUUUUUGUACUUUUCUAAUUACAUUUUGGUAGUACAUGUUUGGAGACUCUUAA